UCGCUGAGCUAACAUCUGUUCCCAUCUUCUCCAUUUUAUGUGGGACGCUGAUACAGCAUGGCUUGAGGAGUGGCACUAGGUGCAUGCCCAGAUCCUAAUCAGUGAAACCCCGGGCUGCUGAAGCAGAGCGUGUGAACUUAACCACUGCGCUACCGGCUGGCUCCUAGUGACCUAAAUUUUUUGAUCAUAAAAUAAACUGCAGUGUAUUUUAUUUACAAAUGAACAUUUCUUUAAUGUCUGCUGCCUCUAACUUCCUGGAUCCUUGGGUCCAGAACUAGCUGUGGAGAAAGGGUCCUGAUUUAUCUUACAUUCCAACCCUCUCGCACAAGAGGGGCCCAGGCAAGGGGGCUGACCAUUUUCAAAGCAGGUCACAUUCCACGUCUAAUUCGAAGGCAUUAUUUUCAUCAUCUCAUUGUACAGAUGUGGAAAGUGAGGCUCAUAACUUACGAGGUUUUCUGAAGCAGCCCCAGGACAGAACACUGAUGCUGGAAUGUGGACCCGGACCCUCCACUCCACAGCAUCCCUCUGGCUCUGUGCCCUCUGCAGAUCCUAUUUGCAGGUCACGUUCCAGUGUCUGCCUGGAGCGCCUGUGAAAUGCAGCUCACCUCCUGCGUGGCGAGGAGGCAUCUAUCUUGUUUCUUUGGUGUCUUUCCCAUUGGGAUGAGAGCGGAGAUAUGCAUUCAUCAGGGGCUCCUGAGACCACUGCUUGGGAUUCGGCUCCUACUGACCAAGAGCCUUGGGGUUCACACUUACAUGUGGAUCCACCCUUGGCAGUGAGGGGCUGAGAAAUGAAACUGUGAUGUUCGUAAGUUUGAGAUGCUGUCAUUCACAUGGUUGUGUAAAUCAAGCCUUUUACUGGCCUCUAAGAGCAGUCAGCUACCAAGGACGUGAACCUAUCGGGAGAAAAUUCACAGAAUGGUAAUAGUCACCGUUUACCAAAUGCCCAUUACACGUCGGACUCCAGCCUAGGUAUUUGUAUAUGGUGCUGACACAAUCUCUACACAAGAUGCAGAGAUGCAGGUGUGGACACGUGAGUCUCACAGACGUGGAAUUCAAGGGUCAAGAUGGGUAAGUCUUUAGUCUGCGACCACAGAGCUGGUAAGUGGAAAACUCGGGGUUCAGACCAUCCCGUCUGAGUCCAGAAGCCAGGCCUUCCAUCUACAAUCUUGCCACUCAGCAUGCGGUCCUCGAACCAGCAGCAUCAGCAUCGCCUGGGACCUUGUUAGUGAUGCGGGAUCCCAGGCUCCAUCCUAGACCAGCUAAGCAGCAUGUGCCUUUGAACACGGUCCCCAGUGAUGUCUGUUCACGUUGAAUUUCAAGGCACUGCUCUGGGCUUCACAACCUGGGCUCCAUCCUUCUGGGACCUUGCGGAUGGAAUUCUGGUCGCCGUGGUCCAGUCAAGCAUGCACAGGACAGGGCCUCGUGGAACAUUUCCUUCCUCCUGUAUGUGGAGAAUCAUUCCACUGUAGCCCCAUACCUUAUGUCCAGGUACUAAGUCUGUAAAAGGGAGGGCGGCCAGGCCUGUGAUGCUCGGUUGGGUCUGCAGCACCUGCCGCGGCAGCCUCUCCAGCAGAGGAAGGAGAGGUAGGGAGCUCAGACCCUGGCAGAACGGAGGGUGCGACGUGUGGGGUAAAUUAUGCUCUGGUGGAAAAGCUUGCUGCCUGCUUGGCCCGGGGGACCUGGCUCUGAGCGUGUGGCACAGACGAGAGGGGCAUUUGUCAAUGUGUGUUUUGGAGUAAGUGCUGGGACCAGCUUCCCAGAAAAGCCCAGGCAGCCUUGUGCAGGGGGACGGGUGGGGCCGGGCUCUAGUUCUGCCCUUGCCUUGAGCUAACUCAGUGUGACCUGGGGACUGGGUUCCUUUGCUCGGCCUUAUUCCUCCUGGCUCUCUGAGGAAUGAGGUACGAAGAUCACCUGGAAAGUCUUGUCAAACCGUAACGUUCUGUGAAGUCAUAAUUAAAAUGCCCUGGGAGAACACUCUAUUUAAAAGAAUUUUUUGUUAAAUCAAACUGUGCAAAGCUAAUUAUCACUCUUUAAUUCAUCUAUUUUAUAAAUUUCACUUCUUUAUCCCUUUCUUUUUAGGUACAAAAGGGAAUGUUUAAAGUAUGAAAAGAAAUGACAACCAAACACAAAUUUGAAUAAGCUGCCCAAUACCACAAGCAUCCUCAAACCUGGAAAGAUGGCACAUCUACUCAGUAACUACCCUGCACACCUCUGUAGUACCUUCAUCUGCCUACUUUUGUUGGCUUCAUACUCUUUGAUCAUCUCUGCAUAUAACCGUCAUUUCAGAAUAUUUUCCAUUCAAAGGAUUAAAAAGAUAAGCUAUUGUUUCCUCUAACAGAGUUGAUCAAAAUUUAUGUUUUAUUCGUGAUAUUUGGGAUGUGUAAACCAUAUGACUUCAGACACAGACUCAUGUUUUCUAGUAUUGUACAGGAUUGCGCUUUUCAAACAGGAAAUCUGAAAAAGUCGUAUUUCGCCCAAUUGCCAUCCACACAGCAAAUACAUGGUGCAUUUAUAGCUUUACACACUGCAUUCUUGAGUAUGUUCUUGAGAGGAGAGAACUUCCUUUUUGGCUAAAUGUCGGUGAGAAUUCCGGCUUCCGCCAUCAACUGUAGACGUCUGAUGAUUUGAAGACUUUUUCAUAAUUGACUUCUGGCUCAGCACAUUUUAAACCCUUUGUCCUCCAUUCUCCAUUUGCUCCUGGUGUCAGGUGCAGUAGGAUGUGUUCCCCGGGUGACAGAACCUGUGGUUCAUGCAUUCACCUGAGGAUGUCCAAUGAGUCAGCAUGUAGCUGAGAUUCCAUCUCUGCUGGAGGAUUUUCGCCUGAGGGGGCAUGCCGGCCAUUGGCUACGGCUGAGCAAGGCUCUCCUCUUCCCCAGGAGAGGUUUCAGUGAGGACAGGACCACUGGAAACACUUCUUCACUCCUUUGAUUUUUCUUCACCUCUUCUGAGCUGGCUCACACCUCAGCGUCAUUUCCCUCCUCUCUGAUGUGUCCUUUCUUUUCAUUAGUUAUUUUUCUCACCACAUUCCCGAAGUCUGGAACUAUGAAUGGGCUUAGGAUGGGAAUAAUUGCAUCCUACUCUUCCCUCUCACUUCAAACCACACACUGAAGGAUGGGUACCUAAGGAAGCUGGUGUUGGGGUUAUUCUAUUUCUUCACCUAGAGAGUAUUUCUGUCACUUGUCCUGGCGAUUCUUUGUCCUUUUUCUUUUUUUAAUUAAACCUGAUAUGAGGAUUUAUGAGCCAAAUUCAGAAUAAGGGUAAGUCUAGAGGACAAAGGACCAGACUUCUUCAAAACGGAAACGGCUUUAAAAAAUAGGGGUGGGGAUGUGACUUUUAGAUGAAAAGAAACUUAAGAGACAGGUCAACCAAAUGCAACAUGUGGACGCUGGAUCUGGAUUUGAACAAAUGGCCUAUAAAAAGGACGUUUGGGAAACAUAGGUGGCGGGCAUUUGAACCUGGUCUGGAGAUCACUGAUACUAAGGAGUUUUUGUGAACUUGGCCAGGUGUGACGUGGUGAUGGUUGGGUUAGGGUUCAGCAGUUGGGCGUCCUUCUGCCACCCAUGUCCCCCAGCUGAAAGGGAUGCACGGGGACAGAGGAGGAAGAUGCAGAACUCCAGAGGGGAGGUGACCACAGCCUCAGUCAACGGCAGCGAAGGGUUAGGGGAAGGGACGAACCGCAGAACGGUUUUGUCUCGUCAUCUCUCUCACCGUCUCCUGCUCAAACAGUGGCUCCUUCUCUUGCCCUCGGCUUUCCUGACCCUGUUGCCUCUUCUUAGGAGCACUCCCUCGGCCUUCCCCUUGUCUACUUUCCAUCCUUCCUUUGGCCUGCCUCCUCCAGGAAGCCGUCUCUGCUGUAGCACACGCUGUUGUCCCCUUCUCCAAAAGCCCGUGGGCCAUCCUGAGUUUGCAGGCACUGGGUGCAGGUUAGCCCAUGGGCAGCGGCUCAUCUCCACAGCUGGAUGGGGGCUCUCUGAGGAAGCACUAGGGCUGGGUCUGUACGCGUGUUGCAUGUCUUACCCUGUGUGCUCAGAAAAGGUUUGCUGACUGAAAAGUACACCAGGCAAAGAUAAUUUAUCCCGGGACCUGCAUUUGCAUAGAGAUGGGACAGCCCCUGCAGUGCCUGAACCAGCUGGAGGUGUGUCUGGAGGCAGACAGAGCACCAGGGGGGAACCUGCAGACCUCCUGGAGGAUAAUAAAUGAUGUGGCUUUAUUUCAUCAUGUCCCACCCCAUCAUGGCCCUUCAGAGAUGCUCUCCUGAAUGACAAGGCAGGAAGGAUGCUGGUCUGCUCCACCGCAGUGGUCCUCACCCUGGUCACACAUUAGAAUCACCUGGGGGCGCUUAAAAGUCGGUCUUCACGCACCACCCUCCCCACCCCUUGCAGACUAAUUGAAACAAAAUCUCUAUGGGGUGGGAACCCAGGCAUCUUAGUUUAAAAAUAUCCAUCCAGAUGAUUCCAACAGCGGCUAAGGCUGAGCAGCACGGGGCCGUGGGAAUCUUUGCCCCACUGCAGAGCUGGGAUUUAGUUGUUUACAAAGCUGCCAUCCAUUCCCUGUUGGCUGUGCCAACAGAGACCAAGUCUACAGUUUCUUAUUUCUAUAAAAUAGUCAGUAGUAAGCAGGGGAAGGUUCUGAAAGCCAUAGGCUUCGGGGGAAAAUUGGGGUCUGGGCUUAGCGGCCAUGAGGAGACAUGCAGAGGGAUGGGGUAGAGGCCUCUUUGCAGGAGAAAAAGUGGCUGGGCCACCAUUUUGGAUGCUUUAACACUGGAAAGAGGCUGGAGUGUGGGGUGGGAGAAGAGGGGACAAGAGGGCGGGAGGAGGGGAGCCUGUGGGGGGGCAUCUACCCUUGGGGCUCGGAGUCAAGGAGCAGUCCAAAGACUCCGUGGCCUGGAGCCCUGGGUCCCACCUACCUCUUCCCUCCACCUUGGGGUUCAAGCGUCGCUCUGGCUGGGGGCCCUGACGAAGGCUCUGAACCAUGGCCAGCCUUGCCCAGAGGCUGUGACCUGGCAGGGCAGGUGUGGGUGGCUGACAGGUGCAGUAAAGGGAGGGAAGGACUCGCCUGCUCGGUGACCCUCUCUCAGGGCCUCUCCCUCCCAGCACUUGUCACCCUGUAAGAUGAGUUACUUAUGUGGCGCUCGAGGCAUGAAAGUGACCAUCUCCUGACUUUUCUCAAUAACACAAAGGCCGGCUCUGAGAUUCAGCUCAUGAGGAAGCCAGGUCCAGCCACUUCUGGGCUGUCCUUACAGAAACGCCAUGAGGCCGUCACGAUCCAUGGUGGCCACCCUGCCCUUUCCCUUGCUGAGUCACCAGCAUGUCCCUGCUUCACUGGGGAGGCCUCUGCGAUGAGGUCCUGGUUCCCAGCAGGGACAGACACCCAAACCGUCACCUCCUGCAGCUGAUCCCGAGGGGCUGGGGCCUCACUCCUCCAGUCCCCCACAUUCAACACCGCAAAGCACUCAGAUCAGCUGUUCUCAUCGGAUUCACCUGCAGAGAUUUAAAAACUACUGACCACCGGCUCUCACCUCAGAUUUCCCAGUUUAAUCACCUGGAUGUAGUCUGGGCAUGGGGACUUUCGAAAGUUCCAAGUGAUUCUAACCUGCAGCCAAGAUUGAAGCGACUGCCAGCCCAGUUCCUCUUCACUGGGCACAGACAACAGGCACCUCCCCAGCUACCUGCAGAGCAGGAGCAGUUAACGUCAACAUGGGACGCCAGCCUCCUGCCUGCCCAGAUGCUGUGUCUUUAAAAGCCUUGCUAGGCUGAGGACAGGGGCUGAAGGGCGGCCUGAAGUGGGCAGCGUGGUACCGCUUGCCCAGAGUUUUGAAAACAAAAGCUUCUUCCUGUCCUCACCCAGCAGGUAAAGGAAGACCCAGCCUUAUCUCUUUGGGGGAAUAAGACGCUUAUUUCUAAACCAGGUUGUAGCAACAUCCCUGAAAAAUUAUCCUGCUAUGCUGGUUUACUUGUCUCUACCCGCCCCAGAUGCCUGUUCCACGGGACCGGGGACCUCGUCUGUGCUUCUACUGCUGUCUCCCUACUUUCCAGGACAGAGCCUGGCCCUCAGCCCAUCGCUGUUGUGGGAACAGAGGAGCGUCCGAGUGGAUGGAUGGAUGGGUGGGUGGAUACACCAUGAGCAUAUGGAUGGAUGAACAAGGAUCACCGCCUCUCGGGAGGCUGCAGAAAACCAGCCUUGCACUCAGGGUUUAUGGCCCCUUUCAAAAGCCAGAAUCGGCAAGGGGCAUCUGAAAGCAGAGCGGCCAAUAAAUUCAAUUUCUAAAAAGGCCAGAACCUCAGAGCCCCAGGAAGUUGUAUUAUAGCAAUUCACGUGGUUGCAAUUUAAGAUUUUAUAGGAGCAGCCACCGCGUCAGCCUCUCUGUCUUGUGACAAGCAGACCCCAUGACUGAGGAGCAGAAAGAAAGUGUGUUCCUCAGAAAGCCGUCGACCGCGAAGAGUGACCUUUCAGAUACAAUUUACAGGAGAAGAAAAAAAAUGCUGCAAUGAAAAGAAGAUUUUUGUCUUGCAUUCUUUCCCAGCUACCUUUGUUCCUGGAGGAAGCAUCUUUGAGCCAUCGUUGUGAAGGCCUUCUCUCUGCAGCUGUCCGGAAGGCAGCUCCCCAGGGCAGGGACGCCUCUGAGCGGGUGGGAGAUGGGAGGAUGGGAGGUGGCCGCUGUCAGCUCCUGUCCUGACCUGGCUUCAUUCGAGCUGUGCCUGAUGGGCGCGCAGGUCUGGAAGCCGCUCGCCUCUCUUCGUGGUGAGCGAAUGGAAGCAUCCGGGUCCUGCAGCAUGGUCCACCAUCUGCCGGGGACGCUGUGUCCAGGCCUGUCUGCAGGGCCACGUCUUGGGUGGCUGGCACGUUCUCUUGCUUGCCCCAUGGAAGCUUUUGGAACCUGAUGUUGGUCCUGUAGGACAGAGGGGUGAAGAGUUCAGUAAGAACUCCUGGGUGGGCAGUCUGUUACACACCCUGGUUGGCUCUCACCUCUGACCCCUGACCCUUGUGCAGGCAGAGAGCUCACAGAACCUAGUUUUUAGCCGUUUUCAUAAACCAUAAGCCCAUCCCUGGAGGGCGUGAGGGCUCUGCUCCUGUUUGAGGUGGCGAGUGCAUGAUACGAUGGUUGAGACGUGCCCAACACUGAACCUCUCUGGGAGGGGCAGUCAACUCUCCAUCCUCAGCACACACAGUGCCGGAUGCUGGCACCAUGAAGGACCUGGCAAACCCACGAAGGGUGUGCCAUUUGAGGCUGUGAACUUGCCUCGUUGGAGUCCUGCUCCGUGCCAGGCUCUGUGAGUGACACAUCUUAUUUUCUUUAACCCUCACAGCAGCCCUGCGAAUGAGGUGAUGUCCAUCUCACAGAAGAGGAAACUGAGGCCCUGCGUCACACAGCUGGCAGGUGAAAGAGCCGUGUGUUUGAGGCAAAGCCCAGUGACUGGCACCAGUAGAAAAGGUGGAGGAGGAGCCUGUGGUGGGGCACCGGCCUUGCCAGGCAGCAUCCAGGAGAACAAGUGCCCUAGGAAUCUGAGACUCGCCAUGGAUGCCAAGAACAGGACAGGAAACUGAGACCCAGAGAGGUGGAGCAAAAAUGCCCGAAAUUACGUAGUUGGUUAAGAGCAGAAUGGGGACUCGCACGUGCUUUCUGCUCUACGGUGCCACCUUCUCAAAGGAGGAAAUUUACCUGCCAGCCUUGCCCACAGGCCCAGACGGAGGAGUUCAACUUCUUCCCAGAGCUGGGGAGGAGCUCCAAGUGAUUACGCUGUGAAAUUGACCUGGCAGCUCAGCGUUGAGAUUGAAGCUAAUUAAUUUUGCCUGACUUGAUGGAAUCCUCUUCAUUCUCAAUCCUCUCUCUGCUCUUGGACAAAAGAUGAGUGAGGGGGAUGUGGAGGGAAAUGUAACUGGCAAAGUAGCUUCUCUGUGUGGCCACCUGGCGUUUCCCGUGUAGCCCACACUGGGUUUUCAAGCACAGACAUUCUCUUCUCAGGGGGUCUGGGUGGAAAGAAAGCUGGAGGCUUGUAGGGGAUUUCAUCUGUUUCCAGCAGGACUGCAGAGGAAUUGAAAAUAAGGAGUGUGGAGGAAGAAGCAGAGGGGGAUUUACGAGUCCAGCUGUGCAGACUUUUGGAGAAAUUCAGAGAAGUUUUUAAAGCUGGAAAUGUUCUCAGAAGUCGUCUAUUCCAUUCUAGCCCUCCCUUAUAAAAUUGUGGCAAUCUUUGAGUCAGUUUGGACUGAAGUCUGGGAACUUGACCUGAGAGGAGAAAGCUCGGGCAAGGACCCAUGGGGCCGUUGUCCUGUGCUUGGUCAAGUCCACGGAUUGAGGGUGACAUCUGAGAAUGAUCUGUGGCUACAGCGGUGGGGAACAGCGUCUGAUCCAGGUGGGCCAUUAACAUCUGACUCAACCACGAGUAACCAUAUCUCGAUGCUCUUGUUGGCGGGGGGCCCCCUAUUAGGCCAAUGUUGGGGCUCCUGCCUGGGCUGCUGUGCCUCCCUAGGUCUCAAGCUUAGGGAGCAGAGCAGCAAGGCUCCCUCCAUCUGUGACUACAUGUCCCCAAGGCAUGCCAAGGCUCCUUUUGGGAAGGCUUGGAGAAUAUUUUGCCCAUCAAAACCAUGGCCGUUCCCAAGCCUGAGCCAUUUCUCAGAAUAGGGUUCCACCAGAAAUUCUGUUCUGUCGCCCGGGUAAGUGAAAGGAAGUGGGAUUCCCAUGUGUCUCCAUUCUUGCUGCCCUGGUCACUGGGUUCUGUCUCCCCAGGAAGGCCUGAUCACCAAGGGCUGCGGUUUCAAGAUAAGGGGCUUGGAUUUAGAAGUGUUAGGCAACCCCCAAAGACUUUUUUUCUUCCAUUAGAUUCUUUUUCGUUUUUAAUUAAUUCUCUUUUUUUUCUGAGGAAGAUUAGC